ACUGGGCGUAAAGAGCUCGUAGGUGGUUUGUCGCGUUGUUCGUGAAAUCUCACGGCUUAACUGUGAGCGUGCGGGCGAUACGGGCAGACUUGAGUACUGCAGGGGAGACUGGAAUUCCUGGUGUAGCGGUGGAAUGCGCAGAUAUCAGGAGGAACACCGGUGGCGAAGGCGGGUCUCUGGGCAGUAACUGACGCUGAGGAGCGAAAGCGUGGGGAGCGAACAGGAUUAGAUACCCUGGUAGUCCACGCCGUAAACGGUGGGUACUAGGUGUGGGUUUCCUUCCUUGGGAUCCGUGCCGUAGCUAACGCAUUAAAUACCCCGCCUGGGGAGUACGGCCGCGAGGCUAAAACUCAAAGAAAUUGACGGGGGCCCGCACAAGCGGCGGAGCAUGUGGAUUAAUUCGAUGCAACGCGAAGAACCUUACCUGGGUUUGACAUGCACAGGACGCCGGCAGAGAUGUCGGUUCCCUUGUGGCCUGUGUGCAGGUGGUGCAUGGCUGUCGUCAGCUCGUGUCGUGAGAUGUUGGGUUAAGUCCCGCAACGAGCGCAACCCUUGUCUCAUGUUGCCAGCGGGUAAUGCCGGGGACUCGUGAGAGACUGCCGGGGUCAACUCGGAGGAAGGUGGGGAUGACGUCAAGUCAUCAUGCCCCUUAUGUCCAGGGCUUCACACAUGCUACAAUGGCCGGUACAAAGGGCUGCGAUGCCGCGAGGUUAAGCGAAUCCUUUUAAAGCCGGUCUCAGUUCGGAUCGGGGUCUGCAACUCGACCCCGUGAAGUCGGAGUCGUAGUAAUCGCAGA
rnacentral:rRNA from 1 species